AUCUGCUAUAAAUGUGAACAGCCAGGACAUGGUGUUAAGGACUGUAAGACUUCAUUGUUUUGUGUUAAUUGCACUAAACGAGAUGCUCAUAUAUCCCGCAAAUGCAAUCUGCUAACGCAACCUAAAGGAGUGGCUGGUCUGAUCGGGAUAGGGGCAGAUGGACUUCAGAUGUUUACUGCACGAUCUGGGAGGUAGCCAGAGGCAGAUAAGGCCAAGCAGGCGAUUGCUGUUAUUACUGUGAAAGAUGACGUGCUCACUGCACAACAAUUGGUGAACUCAUUUAGCAUGAUGUUUCAGUGGGGAUGGCAGUGGCAGGCAAAGCCAUACCUCAAAGAUAGUUUCCUGAUGAAGUUCCCUUCUGUCCAAAAGAUUGAUGAAAUGAAAGCAUAUAAAUUUUUUGGUCUGAUUGGCAGCAAAGCUAACGUGAAUGUGAACAGAUGGAUGAACUCCUCUAUGGCCUCUUACAAGCUGUAUGUAUGCUGGGUCACAAUAUCAGGGGUGCCGGAAACAUUGCAUCAUUACCAGGGCUUUUGUGAAGCUGGGUCGCUAAUCGGGCAUGUGUUUGAAUUGGAUAUGGAGUUGUACAGACAAUGUGAGAUACUCAGAGCAAAGGUGGGUGUCAUGGACCCGAGAAAAAUUCCACCCAGUGCGCCUCUCCAUGAGGAUGGGUACAUAUACAACAUUUUCUUUGACCUAGAAGACAUUGUGGAAGAAGGAGGUCCAAUGGAGGAUGGUAUCUUA
rnacentral:rRNA from 1 species